rnacentral:misc_RNA from 2 species
CUUGUACACACCGCCCGUCACACCACGAGAGUUUGUAACACCCGAAGUCGGUGAGGUAACCCUUUUGGGAGCCAGCCGCCUAAGGUGGGACAGAUAAUUGGGGUGAAGUCGUAACAAGGUAGCCGUAUCGGAAGGUGCGGCUGGAUCACCUCCUUUCUAAGGAAACUAACGGAAACCCACACAUUCGUACUUACUUUGUUUAGUUUUGAGAGGUCUAAUCUUCUCAAUCUUUUUAAUUGAAACACGUUGUUCUUUGAAAACUGGAUAAAGUUAAAAAUUGUUAUUCAAGUAAGAAACCAGAAAGACACCGAAAAUGUUUUAAAAUGAGUUUUUUUAAGGUUCUCAUCGUAAGAUGAGGUUUAAAAUUAACGCUAACCAUAGGUUAAGUUAAUAAGGGCGCACGGUGAAUGCCUUGGCACUAGGAGCCGAUGAAGGACGGGACUAACGCCGAUAUGCUUUGGGGAGCUGUAAGUAAGCUUUGAUCCAAAGAUUUCCGAAUGGGGGAACCCAGCAUCUUUGAUAGGAUGUUACUGCUGACUGAAUACAUAGGUCAGUAGAGGUAGACGCAGAGAACUGAAACAUCUAAGUACC